AUGCUCCGACAGCUGUACGCGUUCCCGGAGGUGUUCAACUGCAACAGGCACCUGGUGGCCAACUUGAGACCCCUGCAGGAGAUUGGCCGUACCAGGAUGCUCUACAGAACAUUCAGUUCCGCUCCAUCAAAGCUACGGUUGAGCAUCACCACAGCGCUGGCAUCCAUAUUGUUUACCUUCAGAGGUCUAAUUACGUCUCUGAAAUGACGCCAUCAGAUUGUUUUCGCGCUCAGUUAAAUUCCCCACAUAUGCUGGCGAGUUCGUGAACUUAGUAAUCUUCCGAACGCUUAUAAAAUGACGUCAAUAAAUGAUGACUCGCAAA